rnacentral:rRNA from 1 species
AGUGAACGCUGGCGGUAGGCCUAACACAUGCAAGUCGAACGGCAGCACAGUAAGAGCUUGCUCUUACGGGUGGCGAGUGGCGGACGGGUGAUGAAUACAUCGGAAUCUACUUUUUCGUGGGGGCUAACGUAGGGAAACUUACGCUAAUACCGCAUACGACCUACGGGUGAAAGCAGGGGAUCUUCGGACCUUGCGCGAUUGAAUGAGCCGAUGUCGGAUUAGCUAGUUGGCGGGGUAAAGGCCCACCAAGGCGACGAUCCGUAGCUGGUCUGAGAGGAUGAUAAGCCACACUGGAACUGAGACACGGUCCAGACUCCUACGGGAGGCAGCAGUGGGGAAUAUUGGACAAUGGGCGCAAGCCUGAUCCAGCCAUACCGCGUGGGUGAAGAAGGCCUUCGGGUGGUAAAGCCCUUUUGUUGGGAAAGAAAAGCAGCAGGUUAAUACCCCGCUGUUCUGACGGUACCCAAAGAAUAAGCACCGGCUAACUUCGU